UUCCGGAAGGCGCGGGGAGAGAGCCUGCGGUUGGCUCCCUAGAAGGAAAGCAAACCGGAAGAGAGUUGUGUUAAGUGUGCGGCAACGCAUGCAGCUAGUGCGCAGGAAGAAUCCGGGAAAGAGUGGAAGCUCGUAAUUUGAGUUUGUUGGUGCAAAACUGAAGAAACACAGCCAAUCAUUUAUUUAAGACCGCCUUGACGUUUCCCUCAGCUCAGUGACUGGUUACCCAAACUCCUACCUGAUGGCCUUGACACAUAUCUCAUUGGAGAGAGAGAUGUCACAUGGAUGCUUCUAGCUUCUGACAUUUACCUUACACUUGGCUUACUGCACUGCAGCAUCAAGAAAGACCUUUGAAAACUUACAGGAUAUGUACAGGACUAUUCAACAUCCACUGGGUCACAGGAAAAGCAGGAGAGUUCCAGAAAAACAUCUGCUUCAUUGACUACGCCAAAGCCUUUGACUGUGUGGAUCACAACAAACUGUGGAAAAUUCUUAAAGAGAUGGGAAUACCAGACCACUUGACCUGCCUCCUGAGAAAUCUGUAUGCAGGUUAAAAAGCAGCAGUUAGAACCAGACAUGGAACAGCAGACUGGUUCCAAAUCGGGAAAGGAGUACGUCAAGGCUGUAUAUUGUCACCCAGCUUAUUUAACUUAUAUGAAGAGUAUAUCAUACAAAAGCCUGGAUGAAGCACAAGCUGGAAUCAAGAUUGCUGGAAGAAAUAUCAAUAACCUCAGAUAUGCAGAUGACACCACCCUUAUGGCAGAAAGCAAAGAAGAACUAAAGAGCCUCUUGAUGAAAGUGAAAGAGGAGAGUGAAAAAGCUGGCUUAAAACUCAACAUUCAGGAAACUAAGAUCAUAGCAUCCAGUCCCAUCACUUCAUGUCAAAUUGAUGGGGGAAAAAAUGGAAACACAAUGAGAGACUUUAUUUUCUUGGCUCCAAAAUCACUGCAUAUGGUGACUGCAGCCAUGAAAUUAACAGAUGCUUGCUCCUUGAAAGAAAAGCUGUGACCAACCUAGACAGCAUAUUAAAAAGCAGAGUCAUUACUUUGCUGACAUAGGUCCCUCUAGUCAAAGCUAUGGUUUUUCCAGUAGUCAUGUAUGGAUGUGAGAGUUAGACUACAAAGAAAGCUGAACACUGAAGAAUUGAUGCUUUUGAACUGUGGUGUUGGAGAAGACUCUUGAGAGCCCCUUGGACUGAAAGGAGAUCAAACCAGUCAAUCCUAAAAUAAAUCAGUCCUGAAUAUUCAUUGGAAGGGCUGAUGCUGAAGCUGAACCUCCAAUACUUUGGCCACCUGAUGUGAAGAGCUGAUUCAUUGGAAAAGACAUUGAUGCUGGGAUAGAUUGAAGACAGGAGGAGAAGGGGACAACAGAGGAUGAGAUGGUUGGACAACAUCACCAAUUUAAUGGACAUAAGUUUGAGCAAGCUCCUGGAGUUGGCGAUGGACAAGGGGGCCUGGCGUGGUACAGUCCAUGAGGUCUCAAAGAGUCAUACACAACUUAGUAACUGAACUGAUUAAUUAAAAUUUUCAUGUAUCUUACUGGGUCUGUGUGAGAAAACAUCACUAAAUUAAAUGAAGAUAGUUAUAGGAAGUACAAACUGGGAAUUCCAUUAUUUAGUAUCUGCACAGUUCCUAUCUUUUUUUAGAACAAAUGACUUUGUUCAGCUUGAAUUACUGGAGGAUGCUAAUAAAUAGAACAGUUCUAAAAACAUACACUGAACAUCCUGUCAUGUGAAAACUUCAUAUUCUCUCACAGCAGAAGAAACGGUGAUGAAAAGCCAGUUCUGCAUUUUACAGUUAAAGCAAAUACAGCAGAGGAAAAAGGAAGGAAAACAAGUAUCCAAGAAUGAUGUCAAUCUCAAGAUACUGACUUAAUUAUUCUUGCUUAUCACUAGGGGAAAAAUGCUUUGUAUUCAUGGAUGUAUCAAUGAGAACUUAUGGAAUAGAACUUUUAAAGUGUAUUUUAUGCCUUAGUGUGAUUCAUUCAUGCGUUCCUUCAUUCAUCCUUUGAAUUAAUCAAACCUGCAUGAGCACUAAAUGAACAUCUUCAAUAUCCCCUCUUUGAGAGAUAUUCACAUUCACACUCCCGUGGUCAUCGGGCAGGCUGACCCCACUUUUCAUCCACAGCUGGCAAGCUCAAGGUGGGCACCUGACCCAAGGUAAGCUGUUCAGAAUUCAUUACAAUGAAUUUGGAACUAGCACUAGGAUUGCACUCAUACCUGGGAAUGUUUUUUGAACAGUUAAACUGUAAAAACUCAGUCAAGUUUUCUCCCAGGUUAUCUAGGGUGUAGCUGAAGCCGAUAAAAAUAUUGAAAAAAAAAUAUGACGGAGAAAAAGAUGAGGAGUGGAUAGUGUCAGUAAGUUUUGUUUUGUUUUUUGAUUUUCUAGGUUUCUUUGUUUUUGUUCAUUUUGUUGUUUUGUUUUUCUUUUAAAUAACAAACUGCAUUUUAGUUUCCAGUUGUGGAAUUUUUCCAAGAUAUUUUCAUACCAUUGUGUUUCCUGAUAUUGUGCCCUUAUAUUUUCCCUUAGUUGUUUUCUUAUACUGAUACGCUGUCCUUGGUCUUCAAAGGAAAGCUGAAUAUCAUCCCAAAUAAUAUUAGCUCCAUGGAUGAGCUACUGUGUUAACACACUGCUAUUAUAACCAAGAUAUAUUCCCAACUUUUAGGCCCUCACAGUGAAAUGAAGGAACUAAUAUAAUAAGAUAGACUCAGUAAAGCUAAAAUUGUAAUACCUUUUUAAAAUAGAGGAAUCAUUGUAUGAAAAUAAAUGAUAACCAUGCUGUUGUACAACAUUGGGUUAAAAAUUUACAGAUGGUUUAAAUAAAAUGAAUUUUUGAUCUCUUCACCCAUGUGAUUAAGUAAUAAAACUGUUUCAUGUAAUGUAAUCUGCAUUAGCUAACUUCAACUGUGUUGCUGGAUUUUAUUUCACUUGAAUUUGCAUACUUAACUUCUCUGCCAGACUCUAUAAAGAAAACCAGUAAGUAAUAAUAAUAAUGUACAUGGAUCACAAAGAGUCAGACAUGACUGAGCAACUGAGAACACACAUGGUGGUUACAUACAACAAGGGUAUGUAUCCCUUGUUACAUGUAUAUGUUACAAAAUCACCAAUGCUGUAACAAAAAGAAAACCAAUAAACUAGGUUACUACAUGAAUACAGGAUCUUAAUUUUAUUUUCUUAAAUCUAAAUUCCACAUGUCUAGUAUAGAUUUCUCCUUAGAACAAUUUCCCCAAACAGAUUAAAACAAGAAUGCUUAAUUGUGUGAAAUGCUUCUGUGUUAUAUAUUGACAGAUCCGACUGUUAGGUAAUUUUACACAAAAAUAUUGCCUUCACAGAAUACUUUUAACAAAG